GGAAAACUUAUCAGGUCCAGACAUAGUGAGGAUUGACAGAUUGAGAGCUCUUUCUUGAUUCUAUGGGAGGUGGUGCAUGGCCGUUCUUAGUUGGUGGAGUGAUUUGUCUGGUUAAUUCCGUUAACGAACGAGACCCCCGCCUGCUAAAUAGGUCCGUGAAUGAAUUUCAUUGACGAGAUCUUCUUAGAGGGACUUUUGGUGACUAACCAAAGGAAGUUGGGGGCAAUAA
rnacentral:rRNA from 1 species